GGCCGUCCCCGCCCACCAGGUCUGGGAUCCCACCGUGGGGUUCGUCGUCAAGGUCCCUGCCGUCUCCAAGUUCUUCGUCAAGGUCCCCGCACAUCCUCUCCUCACCUCCUAGAUCGGAAUCGGCGCCUCCCUCCGCCACCGGCCGCCAUGUCACCGUCUCUGCUCGGGGGGCUCACCAAGUCACUGGCCAUGACCGUGCUCUCCAAGGUCGGCGACAAGACCUUCUUCACCGCCGCGGUUCGUGAAGAGGUCAAUCUGGUGUUGUGAAAGAAGGGGGCUGUCCAUGGAGAAGAUUCCGCGGCGAGCUCCUCAGGGAAGGCAAGUUGUCGCACCUGGAGAACUUUCCCAUCAGAGGGAGCAAUCAAGACAUUGUUAGGACAGUACCAGAUGUGCUCCUACGUGUUGAACAAUGUUAUGUAGUAGUGAGAUAAGGAAAAUUAUGUAGACUUUGUUAGGACAGUACCAGAUGUGCUCCUACGUGUUGAACAAUUCCUGUGUAAUGAAAUUUUGCAUUCCCUGUGUACAUGUUGCUUUAAUGACAGAUUGUGAAAAUUACUCA